rnacentral:tRNA from 1 species
GCCCCGGUAGCUCAGCGGACUAGAGCGGCUGCCUUCUAAGCAGCGGGUCGCAGGUUCGAUUCCUGCCCGGGGCGCCA